UACGAAGGGUGCAAGCGUUACUCGGAAUUACUGGGCGUAAAGCGUUCGUAGGUGGUUCGUUAAGUCUGUCGUGAAAGCCCCGGGCUCAACCUGGGAAUGGCGAUGGAUACUGGCGGGCUAGAGUGCGGUAGAGGGUGGUGGAAUUCCCGGUGUAGCAGUGAAAUGCGUAGAGAUCGGGAGGAACAUCAGUUGCGAAGGCGGCCACCUGGACCAGCACUGACACUGAGGCACGAAAGCGUGGGGAGCGAACAGG
rnacentral:rRNA from 1 species